AGCAUUUCCAGCAAAAGUGUGAAGCCCCUAUGCGGGGAAAUCGGUCCACAGAACAGAAUUCUGAUCCUGCUUUGAUGCGUCAGAUAAUGCGUAAAACAAAAAAUAGAGCGGUUCCGACGGUUUUGUAAAAAUAGGAACCGCUCUAUAGAUAUUCAUGAUCCGGAGAACAUGGAUGG
rnacentral:misc_RNA from 1 species